GAUGAACGCUGGCGGCGUGCUUAACACAUGCAAGUCGAACGAAGCACUUUAUUUGAUUUCCUUCGGGACUGAUUAUUUUGUGACUGAGUGGCGGACGGGUGAGUAACGCGUGGGUAACCUGCCUUGUACAGGGGGAUAACAGUUGGAAACGGCUGCUAAUACCGCAUAAGCGCACAGCAUCGCAUGAUGCAGUGUGAAAAACUCCGGUGGUAUAAGAUGGACCCGCGUUGGAUUAGCUAGUUGGUGAGGUAACGGCCCACCAAGGCGACGAUCCAUAGCCGACCUGAGAGGGUGACCGGCCACAUUGGGACUGAGACACGGCCCAAACUCCUACGGGAGGCAGCAGUGGGGAAUAUUGCACAAUGGGCGAAAGCCUGAUGCAGCGACGCCGCGUGAGCGAAGAAGUAUUUCGGUAUGUAAAGCUCUAUCAGCAGGGAAGACAAUGACGGUACCUGACUAAGAAGCACCGGCUAAAUACGUG
rnacentral:rRNA from 1 species